rnacentral:tRNA from 1 species
GGGGUUGUGGCUCAGUGGUAGAGCAAUUGCCUUGCAUUUGCGAGACCUGGGUUCGAUCCUCAGCACCA